rnacentral:rRNA from 1 species
UACGUAGGGGGCUAGCGUUGUUCGGAAUUACUGGGCGUAAGGGGCGCGUAGGCGGUACUUCAAGUCAGGCGUGAAAGCCCCGGGCUCAACCUGGGAACCGCGCUUGAGACUGGAGAACUAGAGUUCGGGAGAGGAUGGUGGAAUUCCCAGUGUAGAGGUGAAAUUCGUAGAUAUUGGGAAGAACACCGAUGGCGAAGGCAGCCAUCUGGACCGACACUGACGCUGAGGCGCGAAAGCGUGGGGAGCAAACAGG